GCUCCCAUCGUCUAGCCCGGUUUAGGACGCGCCCCUCUCACGGGCGCAACGCCGGUUCAAAUCCGGCUGGGAGCA
rnacentral:tRNA from 1 species